rnacentral:rRNA from 1 species
UACAGAGGUCCCGAGCGUUGUUCGGAAUCACUGGGCGUAAAGGGCGCGUAGGCGGCUUUUCAAGUCGGGGGUGAAAGCCUGUGGCUCAACCACAGAAUUGCCUUCGAUACUGUUAGGCUUGAGACCGGAAGAGGUGAGUGGAACUGCGAGUGUAGAGGUGAAAUUCGUAGAUAUUCGCAAGAACACCAGUGGCGAAGGCGGCUCACUGGUCCGGUUCUGACGCUGAGGCGCGAAAAGCGUGGGGGAGCAAACAGG